rnacentral:tRNA from 1 species
UGGCCCGGUAGCUCAGUUGGAUAGAGCACUGGUUUCCUAAACCAGGUUGUCGCGAGUUCAAAUCUCGCCCGGGUCAUC